rnacentral:rRNA from 1 species
UACGUAGGGUGCAAGCGUUGUCCGGAAUUAUUGGGCGUAAAGAGCUCGUAGGCGGUCUGUUGCGUCGGCUGUGAAAACCCGGGGCUCAACCCCGGGCCUGCAGCCGAUACGGGCAGACUAGAGUUCGGCAGGGGAGACUGGAAUUCCUGGUGUAGCGGUGAAAUGCGCAGAUAUCAGGAGGAACACCGGUGGCGAAGGCGGCUCUCUGGACGGUGGCUGACACUGAGGCGCGACAGCGUGGGGAGCAAACAGG